rnacentral:snRNA from 1 species
GUGCUCACUUCUGCAGCACAUAUACAAAAAUUGGAAUGACACAGAGAAGUUUAACAUGGCCCCUGCACAAGGAUGACAUGCAAAUUCAUGAAAUAUUCCCUUAAAAA